rnacentral:lncRNA from 7 species
CUGAAACUGAUGUAUUUGAAACAACAGCUUGAACACAUUAUGUAUGUUAAACCAGAACAAACUCAACUUCUGGUGUCCGCUAGAAUUUAAAAAGGAAGAUAAAAUGCUCACAUUAUGGCAGCCCCUUUAAACCAUCUCUCAUGAAUUAAAAUUAAGCAGAAGAAUGAAUCAAAUAAGUAGCUGAAUUACCUCACAUUGAUAACAUCAUCAACUCUUCUAGUCAGCUAGUGUCACAAAGAAAA